rnacentral:misc_RNA from 1 species
AAAUGCGAUAAGUAAUGUGAAUUGCAGAAUUCAGUGAAUCAUCGAAUCUUUGAACGCACCUUGCGCUCCUUGGUAUUCCUUGGAGCAUGCCUGUUUGAGUAUCAUGAAAUCUUCAAAGUAAAUCUUUUGUUAACUCAAUUGGUUUCUACUUUGGUAUUGGAGGUCUUUGCAGCUUCACACCUGCUCCUCUUUGUUCAUUAGCUGGAUCUCAGUGUUAUGCUUGGUUCCACUCGGCGUGAUAAGUUAUCUAUCGCUGAGGACACUGUAAAAGGUGGCCAAGGUAAAUGCAGAUGAACCGCUUCUAAUAGUCCAUUGACUUGGACAAUACUUUUAUGAUCUGAUCUCGAAUCAGGUAGGACUACCCGCUGAACUUAAGC